AGAAGCACUCGGUAGAGCAGGAGAAGACGGGGACAGGAGACGGGGACACGAGUUACGGAGCGGCCACGCGCAGCCAUCAGCGACCGACGGAGACACAGCCUGGACCACGGAGACGCCAGAGCCUGAAGCACAGCAGCCUGUACCCGUUUGGCGAGGAUACUCCAGCCUGGGUCGGUAGUUUGACUGCCGCCCGGGAAGAUCGACGACCGGAGCAGCAGAGGAGGCGCUGCGGGAAGAGGAGCAUCGGGAGUCGAUCUGGGCUGGGAACGAGUUGACGUCUGAGCGGCGGCUGCUAGCGUUCCCACGUGCAAGUGACUCUGGGGCAGAGGGUUAUUGCAUGGACUUGUUUUAGGAUUAUCUAUUUUAUUUUGUAAAACAUUGCUUUUAUUGUAAUAAACCCGCCAAUAUUUAC